GCGUUUCAUCCCAGCGUCACGAGUGACGUCGCCAAGGCGAGCGCGGUGCCUGCUGGGAUGCGCGAAGCCAUCCACAAAGCGAGCCGGGAGCGACGGAGCGGGCAACGUCGCACACCGCUUUCCGAGCGCCUCAGCGAAGUCAUGGAGCUCUCGUCGGUCGGCGAGCGCGUCUUCGCCGCCGAGUGCAUACAGAAGAAGCGAAUUCGAAAGGGCCGUGUCGAGUACUACGUCAAGUGGCGUGGCUGGAGUCACAAGUACAACACCUGGGAACCCGAGGAAAACAUACUGGACGGCCGUUUGCUGGAAGCCUUCGAGAGCAGUCAGAGAGAUUCUGGACCGGGCAAGCGAGGCCAGAAAUCCAAAAAAGAACGAAGUCAUAGCUCAAGCGAGCCACAGCAGGAUUUCCGGCACGACUCCAACAAGGCCAAGAGUGAGGACGACACCUCCAACGAUGCACCUGCUACACCUCAUGGCAACAGCUCGAGCACGGAGACAAACCCUGCAGUAUCUCCACCACACAGUCCACCACCAGUGUUGUCGCCCAGUGCUACAGAAGAGAAAGACAGCUCCACAGCGACGGCUGCGUCGCGCCUUUCGGCGUCCACGUUGCAGUCUGCGACACCGCCACAGCAGCAGCAGCCACAGACUCCCCAUCCGGCUGCCGUGACACCAAAGCCGCAGCCAGCUGAAGCUAAGGAGCUGUCGGGCAAGGCCAAGCCUGCCAUUGCUGUAGCCAGCCCACCAAAGACACUUCAGAGUGCCAAGAGCCCGAAAGAAGAGGAAGAAAAGGCAAAACUAGUGACUGCAGCCCCCAGUCAGCCACCGUCGGAGAAAAGCUGCGAACCGACAACGUCCGUCUCUAAGCCAAGCCCAGCAGAGGCAUGUUUGUCUUCCCCGCCGGUGUUGGAAGCUUCGAAGAAGCCCGACACGGCAACUAAACGCAAGUUGGAUGUGAAGCCAACGUCAUCUAGUCCACAGAUUCAGGUCGCAUCUGUAUCCCAGCAACCCCCCAGCAAGAUGCCCAGGUUGUCUAGGCCCAUGGACGUGCCCACAAUCAACGCGGCAGCCAAGCCUCCUCCAGUCUCUACGGCGGCGGCAUCGCUCGUGAACGGCUCGUCGCCGGUGAGGGUGCCCGUGCGGCCACCGGUAGCCUUCAAGCCCAUCACUCCACGCCUCGGCAUGACGCACGUUCACCACACCCAUCCCCCUGCCUCGCACCUUGCGGUGCCCCCCGUAGCCGCCCGACUGGGUACCGGGCAGCUCGGACCGGCAGCGGUGGCACGAAUCUCGCGGCCACCCCAUCUGGCUCUGCCAACCAGUUCGCCAUCUCUGCAUCAGGCUGCAUCGAAUUCUGCCAACUCUGUCGGUCCCGUACCCCACCCCACCGCUGUACCCAUCAGCUCCCCCGUUCCUGCCACGGGUGUUGUUGCACCCCAGCAGCCGGUGCCGUCGGCGACUCCCGUUCUCAAUGGGCGCGACGGCGCGCCACCUCAGCCGGGCAGCGACCGCGAGAAUGUCUGCAAACCAGCAGUUUCAGCCGUCUCCCAAGGAAAGCCGAUGCACAGUCACAAUGGCCAGGCUGCGUCUCCUCCGAUGCUGCUGCCACCCAAGGAAGCCAGCGCAGAGCCGGCUGUAGCCGAGCCCGAGUACAGCCAGCUUGCCAUCAUCCCCGACUUCUGGCAGAAGCAGAGUCCAGUUGUGGAUCAAGUCCUGAUUACGGAUGUGACUGCCAACCUGGUCACGGUGACUGUGCGCGAGUGUCGGACACAGGCAGGAUUCUUCCGCGAUAGGAGCAAUGAGCAGGCGCCGAAGGACAUUAAGUGAGACACGUGUGCUUUUUGUCGUCGCUCUAUUGAACAUGGGCGUCCACAAGCACUUGUACAUUAGAGGGUGAAUAUGUGAGAAGGGUGAUCAAAGACGCAAAGUGAGCGCAAAAUGACGCGAGUGGUUCUUUCGUUGCCACUCUGUGAGGGUGGCAUCUUGAGGCAGGCGGAGCAGUUUGUACAGUGGAAGGACGAGAAAUCCAGACAAAAUGUAAUCCUUUAGGUUCGCAAGUGGCUGUAGAUCACCUAAAUUAAUUCCACAGAGUUCUGCAAAAAAGGCUGCUCAGAGAGCAGUGCUUUUAAUAACUUCAAUUGUCAGUUCAUGGAGAAAUGUUUACAGGUGGUGUAUUUUACCUUAGAGGGCAUAUGGAAUCGCGUAUGGGGAAAUGCAACAUUUUCUACAAGGAUUAGUGAACUGCAGGUGCAUGGGCCAACAGUAUGGUGUGGAGUGCACUUCAAUCUCAUUUGUGCACCCGGAGGUUUAUACACCAUACGGACGUGUAAACAAACUGCUUUCUGUUCAUCUAAAGUUUGCAAGUGGCCCUCUGUUCAUUUUCGUUCAAGGCACACAAAUUGUUCUUUCUCAGCAGUAGUCUGCUCCUUUAUUGCAGUUCAUCUCUCGUGUGAUUAGUUGUAACAAGGGCCCGCUGUCUGUAGAAUGGAUAGCCAAGUUACCUGCUUUGUGGUUCAGUAUGAAAGGGCCCAAUUUCUUUCAAACUGGAGCAGAGGAUAAAGUAGGCCGUGCUUUGAAUGAAAUAGAACUGGAUGUGCUGCUCUUUUGAUGCUAGCUUUUUUUCCUUUGAUAUCAUUACCAUUGCUGGUGGGCAUUGCACACACGUGAAUAUGGUCUUCAGCCACCUGUCCAAAGAGAGGGCAUAUUGUUCUCUGUAUAUAAUGUAAGUAUACGUAUCUGUUAAACUACACUUCGAUCAACUGCUUGGGAAAGGUGUGGUAGAGGGAAUGUAUACUGUUUUUUGGCCAUUUCCCUUCCCCCAUUUGUGGUGCUUUCUGUUUGGUUGCAGUAGUCAGUGUAGAGUUUAGUAAAUACUACCGGAGAGCUGUUAAUAGAUUAGUGGGCUAGCCUAAUAUAUUCUGUUGGUUUUUGUUUCGGUGUUGUCUUCGAAAGACCAUGAAGAGUACCUGUUCCCUGAAGUCUAGCGUGGCAUCGCAGAGGUUCAAGAGCACAUAUAUGCAACAAAGGAUUGCCGAGAGCUAUAUUGAGUGCCUUGGGUUGCUUCUACGUCAAACGGCGAGUGCACUCCGCAGCUUGGCCAAGUUAGUCGUGCCAUGACAGGUCUUGUAUCUGUAUUGUCCGAAAAUGACAGUCCCUGUCCUGUCACAAUGAUGCAGUUGUGAAAGUUUGACAGUAAGAGAUUCAAAAAUAGACUAAAAUGUUGACGUUUCAGCAGAUUGGGUCAUCAUUGCCUGUUGGUCGAAACGAAUGGUGCAAACGGUGCUGUCAGUGUGACAGGUAGUGCUUCAUGUCUGCAGCUAUGCACAAUUUCUGUCUGUAUCGUCAACCUUUUUGUUUUGUGAGCACGGCCAACAUGGCCUUCUGUACAGAAUCACUGUGUGCUUUUUUUUUUCCUGCUUUAUGUUCGUUUCAAAGGACAUGCCAUGGUACAAAAAAAAAUGGAAUUUCUGUGAAUAAAAGUGUACAUAGACCUGC
rnacentral:misc_RNA from 1 species